UACGAAGGGGGCUAGCGUUGUUCGGAAUUACUGGGCGUAAAGCGCACGUAGGCGGACAUUUAAGUCAGGGGUGAAAUCCCGGGGCUCAACCCCGGAACUGCCUUUGAUACUGGGUGUCUUGAGUGUGGAAGAGGUGAGUGGAAUUCCGAGUGUAGAGGUGAAAUUCGUAGAUAUUCGGAGGAACACCAGUGGCGAAGGCGGCUCACUGGUCCACAACUGACGCUGAGGUGCGAAAGCGUGGGGAGCAAACAGG
rnacentral:rRNA from 1 species